GGAACGCUGGCGGCGUGCCUAAUACAUGCAAGUCGAGCGUACGAUUCAAAAGCUUGCUUUUGGAUCGUUAGCGGCGGACGGGUGAGUAACACGUGGGCAACCUGCCCUGUAGACGGGGAUAACACCGAGAAAUCGGUGCUAAUACCGGAUAACACGGAAGACCGCAUGGUUUUUCGUUGAAAGGCGGCGCAAGCUGUCGCUACAGGAUGGGCCCGCGGCGCAUUAGCUAGUUGGUGAGGUAACGGCUCACCAAGGCGACGAUGCGUAGCCGACCUGAGAGGGUGAUCGGCCACACUGGGACUGAGACACGGCCCAGACUCCUACGGGAGGCAGCAGUAGGGAAUCUUCCGCAAUGGACGAAAGUCUGACGGAGCAACGCCGCGUGAGCGAAGAAGGCCUUCGGGUCGUAAAGCUCUGUUGUUAGGGAAGAACAAGUACCGCAGCCACUGGCGGUACCUUGACGGUACCUAACGAGAAAGCCACGGCUAACUACGUGCCAGCAGCCGCGGUAAUACGUAGGUGGCAAGCGUUGUCCGGAAUUAUUGGGCGUAAAGCGCGCGCAGGCGGUUCCUUAAGUCUGAUGUGAGAGCCCACGGCUCAACCGUGGAGGGUCAUUGGAAACUGGGGGACUUGAGUGCAGAAGAGGAGAGCGGAAUUCCACGUGUAGCGGUGAAAUGCGUAGAGAUGUGGAGGAACACCAGUGGCGAAGGCGGCUCUCUGGUCUGUAACUGACGCUGAGGCGCGAAAGCGUGGGGAGCAAACAGGAUUAGAUACCCUGGUAGUCCACGCCGUAAACGAUGAGUGCUAAGUGUUAGAGGGUAUCCACCCUUUAGUG
rnacentral:rRNA from 1 species